rnacentral:rRNA from 1 species
UCCCCGAGCGUGUUUCGGAUCMCYUGGCGUWAAAAGGGAGCGUARGGCGGCSGUGGUAAGUCAGAUGKGAAAUCCCGGGGCUCAACCCCGGAACUGCAUCCGAUACUGCCGUGYUAGAGGAUUGRAGAGGKWAGCUGGAAUUCACGGUGUAGCAGUGAAAUGCGUGGAUAUCGUGAGGAACACUCGUGGCGAAAGCGAGCUACUGGACAACUCCYGACGCUGAGGCUCGAAGGCCCAGGGUAGCGAAAGGGAUUAGAUACCCCUGUAGUCCUGGCAGUAAACGGUGUGCGCUUGGUGUGAGGGGAAUCGACCCCCCUUGUGCCGGAGCUAACGCGUUAAGCGCACCGCCUGGGAAGUACGGUCGCAAGACUAAAACUCAAAGAAAUUGACGGGGACCCGCACAAGCGGUGGAGUAUGUGGCUUAAUUCGAUGCAACGCGAAGAACCUUACCAAGGCUUGACAUGCAUCUCUAAGCGCGUGAAAGCGCGUGACCCUUCGGGGGAUUUGCACAGGUGCUGCAUGGCCGUCGUCAGCUCGUGUCGUGAGAUGUUGGGUUAAGUCCCGCAACGAGCGCAACCCUUGUGAUUAGUUGCCAGCACGUCAUGGUGGGAACUCUAAUCAGACUGCCCAGAUCAACUGGGAGGAAGGUGGGGACGACGUCAGGUCAGUAUGGCCCUUACGCCUUGGGCUGCACACGUACUACAAUGCCCAGUACAAUGAGAACCGAUGCCGCGAGGUGGAGGAAAUCUGUAAAACUGGGCCCAGUUCGGAUUGGAGGCUGCAACUCGCCUCCAUGAAGUUGGAAUCGCUAGUAAUGGCGCAUCAUCUACGGCGCCGUGAAUACGUUCCCGGGUCUUGUACACACCGCCCGUCACAUCAUGGAAGCCGGUCGCACCCGAAGUGCCUGUACCAACCGCAAGGGGGUAGGGUCCUAAGGUGUAGCUGGUAACUGGGAUGAAWUYGUAACAAGGUAAC